GACGAACGCUGGCGGCGUGCUUAACACAUGCAAGUCGAACGAUGAAGCGGGUGCUUGCACUCGUGGAUUAGUGCGAACGGGCGAGUAACACGUGAGUAACCUGUCCUUUUCUUUGGGAUAACGGCUGGAAACGGCUGCUAAUACUGGAUAUUCAGGCUGCAUCGCAUGGUGUGGUUUGGAAAGGUUUUUUCUGGGAUUGGGUGGGCUCGCGGCCUAUCAGCUUGUUGGUGGGGUGAUGGCUUACCAAGGCUUUGACGGGUAGCCGGCCUGAGAGGGUGGUCGGUCGCACUGGGACUGAGAUACGGCCCAGACUCCUACGGGAGGCAGCAGUGGGGAAUAUUGCACAAUGGACGAAAGUUUGAUGCAGCGACGCCGCGUGGAGGGUGUAGGCCUUCGGGUUGUGAACUCCUUUGUCUCGCGAAAAAGGCACAGUUGUGGCUGUGUUGAUGGUAGUGGGGGAAGAAGCGCCGGCUAACUACGUG
rnacentral:rRNA from 1 species